GACACAGGUCAGGGUGUGGGGCGUGAGGGACCAAGACAUUUUGUGGGUAGAAAAAGUCAGUGAAUAGAAGCAAAGGACCGCACACAAAUCCAAGGGUUAGCUUCCUGUGGUUAAGACUGAGGGGGUCUCCCAUGGGAAUGCAGGCUCCAAGAGGCAGACCUACCUUGUCUGAUUUGUCUGCCACAACAUCGCCAUUCAGUAUUGGGCCUGAUAUACCAGCUGCUUAAUUGAGAUCAGUGGGUAGUUAGGGAACAAAAAAAAAACCUGUUGCUGUUGAGUCACUUCCAACCAGGUCUUCGAACUGAUUCUCCUCAGUUCAGUCAUGGCCGAGGAAUUAACACCGAAUAGAAUCAAUUUUUUAAAAUUUGGAUGAACUGAAACCAUAACUGGAAUGGGAAAAAUUACGGGUUGUGACUAGGAACUAACCUCCCUCUCAGAAAACUAGGGCAGUGUAUGUGUUGCGUAGCAACCAAAUCUCUUGCCCAUUGGAUUUUGCACAGAGUCAGAAACAGUGGUGCCCCACUCAAAGAUGGGGCUGACCACACCGCUUUGAAUGUGUGUCACUGUCCUCAGUCCUGGCAAUCAUCCGAUUUCACGUGUCAGGCUCCUGAAAGGGCUCACUACGCCUUUUCUGAGUCUCCCAUUCCAGGGCUUCAACUGUAAUUUUUCCUGUUCUGGGGCACCCAAAUUAUAAAAAUUCGAGUCUGUUCCAGUUUCAUUUUGUUGGCUGUGACUGAGCUGGUUCGAAGCCCUGAUUCUAACUCAUAGCGACCUUAGAGGACAGAGCAGAACUGCCUCAUAGGGCUUCCAAGACUGUGCUCUUUAUGGAAGCAGACUGCCUCAUCUUUAUCCUGUGGAGUGGCUGGUGGGUUCCAGCUGCCAACCUUCAAAUCAGCACCUGAGAGCUUAUCCACUGUGCUACCAGAGCUCCUUAGGUAGAUAGGUAGAUAAAUAAUUUUAUUCAUUUAUUGAAUGAAUGAAUAUAGUUAUGAAGUGGUGGAUGCCCCCAGGAGCCAAAGGUUUGCUCCUGAGUGGGUGGUGACACAGCUUACUCCAAGUUCUGGUCUUCAGUUAAAGUCCUACAAGGGAAGCUGCUGCCACCAAAGAGCCACCAUCCCCAGAUAUGCCCAGCUACUCUUGAGCUUACCUCUGGAAAGAGCCGUGGGAGUGCUGGUCACCAAGGGGAGAGGGCCUUCUCCAGGAAGACUGGGCAGGCAAAGUGGGGGAGCCCCACAGCAGGAAGUCCUUGGGCCCCUCAGAACUAGAUCCUUUGCUCCUGAAGGAGCGAUGCUUAUGGGAGUCAGACUAGCCCUGAAAUGGGCCCUGCAGUUUGGCUAUAGGGCUGCACCAGUCACCACAGUGGGGUCCCAGUGCCCUUCGGAGCCUCCUGCUGCUCAUUUUGCUUCAACACUGACACAUACGCUGUAUUUGUAUGCAAAUAACGCACACCUUCUAUGGUUGUUUGCUAGCGAUGCCUUCCCCUACAAGGUAUUUUCGUAAGGAUGCUAUGAUAAUUUUUUUUACAGCAACAUGUUAAAAAAAAAAAACUGGUAUAGUGGCGCUUAUGAAAAUAUCUCAUGGGGAAGGGUGCGGUUGGCAAACAAAUGUAGAAGGCAUGCAUUAUUUGAGUAAAAAUAUGGUAGAGUACCUCUGGCUGCAGUGUUAAGUGCUGGGCAUGUGUUGUGUCAUUUAAUUGUCCCAACAUCCUAAUGAAGCAGGUAGUGUUUCCUCCAUUUCACAGUUGAGGAAGCUGGGGCUUGGUGAGGGGCAGGGACCCAUUCAAGGUCCUAGAGCCAGUGAGAUACACAGCUGGGCGCCCUGUAGGCCUGGCUCUCUGAGUCCUCACUCUCAGCCACUUCUCUCUCCUUGCUCUUGGGGAUGCCCAGGUUCUUGGCCUGUGAACCUGGACAAACACUUUGACUUCCCUAAGCCUAAGUUUCCCUCCCUAUUAAAGGGAAGAAUAGCCCAUACACCACUUCUUGCUUGCUGAGGCAGAAAGUGGUGAGGAUCAAGUACUAAAGGCACAGUGGUAUGCACUGGAGCAGGAGAGAGAAAGUUAAGGCAAUUUCCACACUCAUCUUCAGCUGCUGUGAUUCCCUGGGGAGAGCCAGACUGAACAGUGACCCGCUGGAGGCAUGCACAUGGGGGCAACUCUAAAAAGCCAUCUGGAGAUUAAAAGGAAGGCCAGGAACAGGCGGUGGACAGAGGCAGUUUUUUGACUCAAGAGAGGUGGUGGGAGUCAGCUCAGGGCUUGAGAGAGAGAGCAAGUGUCCAUCUUCCACCCUCAUGCUGGUACCAAGGGAUACACCUGGCAUUCUUCACCCACAGGGCAAGGAGGAAUUGAAGCUGGAGGAGGCGAAGGGGUGGGCAAGGCUGCCUGAGGGUGUCUGGGGAGUGGGCCCAGCAGCUUUCUGGGGAGUGGGCCCAGCAGCUUUCUGGUUGAGUUUUAGGGAAUAUGGGGAACUGUUGACUGAAGGCAGGGGAAAAAAGGCUGUUUACUAAGCCCAGCUCCAACCUCUGCUGACUGGGGAGGGGAGGUGGGGAAGUGGCUGCCUUCAUUCUGCUCUGAUCCUUGGAGUUUCUCCUUGUGCACGUAUGGAGCACAGCAGUGGGGGAUGAGGGUUAGGGAGGCUCCUUGGAGCAUUGUUCUCCAGAUGCUGGCCCCGGGAGGGGAGGGUGUGGGUCUAUUUUAUUCUGCUUCUUAAUUCAAACAGUUGUUCAGACACUGCUCUGACACUCCCUCCCCCACCUUCCCUACCCUAGGCCCUGAGGGAUCCUUGGUGGUUUCAGUUGAAUUUGGUUCUAGAAGGUUCUGUCCAUAAAAGAUAAGUGCAAAUUUCAGAAGAGUCUGAAGUUCCAAACAGCAUAAAAAUACAUGCCUUUUCAAAGGUGAACUCAGAGACGGAAUCCUUUGACUUCUGAAUGUCAUCUAAACCAUUUUCCCUCCUUAAAUAAACUCUUUAUUUUGGAAUAAUUUUAGAUUUUCAGCAAAGUUGCAGCGCUAGUACAGAGAGUCCCACGCACACCUUUUACCGAGUUCCCCCUGCUGUCGACAUCUUAUAUUACGAUGGGACAUUUGUGAAAGCUAAGAAAUCAACUUUGGUACCUUACUUUUAACUAAACUCCAGACUUUCCUUGGAUUCCACCAAGUUUUUCAUUAAUGUCCUCCUUUUGUUCCAGGAUCCCACCCAGGGUACACAGUGCAUUUAGUUGUCAUGUUUCGCCAGUCUCCUCUGGUCUGUGAUGGUUUCUCAGUCUUCCUUGUCUUUCAUGACCUUGACAGUCUUGAGGCUGGGUGUCUUGUAGCAUGUCCCCCAACCUGGGUCUGUCUGUUUUGUCUGCAUCACUUGGUUAACGUAGUGUCUGCCAGACCUCUCCACUGUAAAGUUACUGUUGUUCCCUCUCCCUGUUUUAUUCUUUGGAAGCCAGUCACUAAAUCUAGUCCACCCUUAGGAUUGAGGGGAAUGGGAUUAAGCUCCACUCCUGUAGAGGGGAGUGUUUACUCAUAUUAUUUGGAGCUCUUUCGUAAGAAAGGAGCCCUGGUUGCACAGUGGUUAGGAGCUCAGCUGCUAACCAAAAGGUAGGCAGUUUGAAUCCACCAGCCACUCCUUGGAAACUCUAUGGGGCAGUUCUACUCUAUCCUAUAGGGUCACUAUGGGUUGGAAUCUACUCAGUAGCAACCAGUACUUGGGUUUGUAAGGAACAGUCAUCUCUUCUCCCCUAUUUAUGUAUUUGGUCAUUUAUAUUUAUAUCAGUAAGCACUCGAUGUCUAUUUUAAACUUUGGGUUAUAAUUCAGUAUUACAUUAUGUACUUUGUUGGUCAAAUUAUUCCAUGUUUGGACAUGGCAAUUUCUUUCAGGUUGGCUUCUGUGUUCCUUAACAUGCUCUGUACUUCUGUUUUGUUGUUUAUUUGUUUUGGUUUUUGUUGAUUUGUUUUGAGCAUUUCCUUACUUUCUGGUCCUACAACAUGCUUCAGGGUCAUCUUGUAUUUUCCCUGCCUCAGCCCUAGAAUGAACUAUUUCUCUAAAGAGCCCUGUCAACCAUUACUUUUUUUUUUUUUAAUUUUAUUAACUUUUAUUGAGCUUCAAGUGAACAUUUACAAAUCAAGUCAGACUGUCACACACAAGUUUAUAGACACUUUACUCCGCACUCCCACUUGCUCUCCCCCUAAUGAGUCAGCCCUUCCAGUCUCUUCCUUCGUGACAAUUUUGCCAGCUUCCAACUUUCUCCAUCCUCCCAUCCCCUCUCCAGUCAGGAGAUGCCAACACAGUCUCAAGUGUCCACCUGAUAUAAUUAGCUCACUCUUCAUCAGCAUCUCUCUCCUACCCACUGUCCAGUCCCUUUCAUGUCUGAUGAGUUGUCUUCGGGAAUGGUUCCUGUCCUGGGCCAACAGAAGGUUUGGGGACCAUGACCGCCGGGAUUCCUCUAGUCUCAGUCAGACCAUUAAGUCUGGUCUUUUUGUGAGAAUUUGGGGUCUGCAUCCCACUGAUCUCCUGCUCCCUCAGGGGUUCUCUGUUGUGCUCCCUGUCAGGGCAGUCAUUGAUUGUGGCCGGGCACCAACUAGUUCUUCUGGUCUUAGGAUGAUGUAGGUCUCUGGUUCACGUGGCCCUUUGUGUCUCUUGGGCCCAUAGUUAUCGUGUGACCUUGGUGUUCUUCAUUCUCCUUUGAUCCAGGUGGGUUGAAACCAAUUGAUGCAUCUUAGAUGGCUGCUUGUUAGCAUUUAAGACCCCAGACGCCACAUUUCAAAGUGGGAUGCAGAAUGUUUUCAUAAUAGAAUUAUUUUGCCAAUGGACUUAGAAGUCCCCUUAAACCAUGGUCCGCAUACCCCUGCCCUUGCUUCGCUGACCUUUGAAGCAUUCAGUUUAUCCAGGACACUUCUUUGCUUUUUGUCCAGUCCAGUUGAGCUGACCUUCCAUGUAUUGAGCAUUGUCCUUCCCUUCACCUAAAGCAGUUCUUAUCUACUAAUAAAUCAGUAAAAAACCCUCUCCCACCUUCCCUCCCUCCCCCCACCCCUCAUAACCACAAAAGUAUGUGUUCUGAACCAUUACUUUUUUAAAAGUUAGUUUUUAAGAAAAUAUGUGUUCACAAAAAAAAGACCAGACUUACUGGUCUGACAGAGACUGGAGAAACCCCAAAAGUAUGGCCCCUGGACACCCUUUUAACUCAGCACUGAAGUCACUCCUGUGGUUCACCCUUCAGCCAAAGAUUAGACAGGCCCAUAAAAUAAAACAGGACUAAAUGGGCACACCAGCCCAAGGGCAAGGACGAGAAGGCAGGAGGGGACAGGAAAACUGGUAACGGGGAACCCAAGGUCGAGAAGGGGAGAAUGUUGACAUGUCAUAGGGUUGACAACCAAUGUCACAUAACAACACGUGUAUUAAUUGUUUAAUGAGAAACUAGUUUGCUCUGUAAACCUUCAUCUAAAGUACAAUUAAAAAAAAAAAGAAAAUAUGUGUUCAUUGUAAAACAAAAAUGAAAAGCAAAGCAAAAUAAAACAAAAAAACACCAAAGAAAGAGAUAAAGUGAAAUAGCCCUGCCCCUCCCCCCACCAGGAGCACCUGUUUUUGCUUAUCCUUCUGGACCUUUCCUAGCAUCACCUGCUUCUGUGUACUGCUCCUUUUUGUACCUACAGAAUUGGACUAGACAUUUAAUUCUGCAACCUGCUUCUUCCCAAUAGUGAUCUACAUUUUCUAUGAUUCCAAACACUGCUAUCAAGAAUAUCUUUGUACACCUGUGUAUUCUGUAGGAAAGAAUCUUGGAAGUGGACUUGCUAGGCUGAAUUUUGAUGAAUGCUGCUAAAUUAUGCUUAAAAAUACAAUAAGAAAAUCAAGGCAGGUUUGGCUCAGCUUUUUAGAACAGCCAGCGCAGAAAGAGAGACUCUUAUUGCAGAUGUUCUUGGAGUAAGACAGUGUCUCAGUCAUCUACUGCUGCUGUAACAAGUACCACAAGUGGAUGGCGUUAACAAAGAGAAAUUUAUUCUCUCACAGUCUGGUAGGCUAGAAGUCCAAAUUCAGGGUGUCAGCUCCAGGGGAAGGCUUUCUCUUUGUCUGCUCUGGAGGAAGGUCCUUCUCCUCAGUCUUCCCCGGAAUAGGAGCUUCUCUCUGCAGGAACCCCAGGUCCAAAUGAUGCGCUCUGCUCCCGAUGCUUCUUUCUUGAUGGUAUGAGGUCCCCACGUCUCUGCUUGCUUCUCUCUUUUAUAUCUAAAAAGAGAUUGGCUUAAGACACUAUCUAAUCUUGUAGAUCUCAUCAGUAUAAUUGCUGCUAAUCCGUCUUAUUAUAUCAUAGUGAUAGGAUUCACAACAUAUAGGGAAAUCACAUAAAAUGGUGGACAAUCAUACAAUACUGAGAAUCAUGGCCUGGCUAAGCUGACAGAUGUUUUUGGGGGACACAGUUCAAUCCACGACAGACAGUAAACUAUACAUAUACCUUUUCUGAACAUGUACUUUAUUAGGUGGUAGUUGGGACCUCCCUCAUGUGCUCCCCAAGAAAUUGUGCAGGGCCAUGCCAGAGAGACAGAGGAGAAACCAGGGCCCCUGUGAUGUUGAAUUGUUGCUGUGGACCAGGGCUCUCAAUCCAGCCUGUCUUCUUCCUGCCUUAGGAAACCUCCCAGGAUGCCCAGGUUUUAUGGGAUGGCAUGUAUUCUGCUGUCCAGACAGCAGAUCCAGCUAUCUGGCUAGAACCCAAGUGACAGUUUCUUCCUGGCCUGCCCCAGUGCCUUAGCCCACCUGAUGCUUGGGAAACUAGAGAGCCCUAAAAGGGCCAACAGGACUGCUUGGCUCACACUGAGCAGGAGGAGUGUCAAGGGCCUGCCGACACCAUCAAGGGACAAUCCAAACACCAGAGCCCAGUCUUCUGGAAGCUUCAGGAAGGAAAGGAGCAUGUACCCAUCAGGAUCUCCAAAAGCCCAGCCCAGGAAGUGGGAGAGGGUCUUUGGUCUGUGGGGCGUUGUUCUGGCUUGGAGCAUCCUUCUAGAGCUGGCCCUCUCUCUUUGUGACCCUGAAGUUUGAGCUGCAGAGUCUCUUAUGAGGUGGCUCAGACUCCAGAGCUCAGCACCUUGAAGAAGUCGUUCCAUGUUUGUGUGUGUGUGUGUUUUGAGUUUUGGACCAAAGAGCACCAGCAGAGCCAAGAGGGAAUCAUGGGGGUUAGGAGAUGCUGGGAGUCAUGGUGGCUGCCCUUGUUUCCAGGCAAGAAUUACACAUAAACCUUAACGUGGUUGGAAUUUUUAGCAUAGCCUCUGUAGGCCAGCCACUGUGGCGGGCACUGCAGGUGGGCCACAAGUACCUUCUGCCUUCCAGAGCUACUGGCCAGCGGAAGCAAGGUGGACCUGUGGACCUGUGGCAGUGGUUGGCCAGGUGUUGGGGACAGGCAGACCUUAGAGUAUUAUUUGUAUCUAGAGUGGGCCUCUCUGCCUUUUGUACUCUUUGAGAUCUUGGGCUAGUUAUUUCACCUUCUGGGCCUGUUUACCAUAUGAGAAAUAAUGAGAUUAUCAUUUUUAAGACUUUACCUCCCACAGACAGUUAUUCUGAAAAGUGAAGGAGCCUGAGGGAGAGAGAGAUUAUGUCAGAUGAGAUGGUUCCAGGAGGCCGUUUGGAGUAGUGCCCCCCACUUUCCCCCAAACCCUCCAAAUGGUGGCUUUGCCUAGUAUCUGAGAUGUGUUUCUUUCCUCACAAAUUGUAGUACCACUCUCCUUCCAGAAGGCAUUUCUUAACACAGUGGUUUUCCCACGGGGCCCCUAUGUAAUAUUUGUGGCCAACAGUUGGAGCAAGGAGUUCUGCCAUGCAGUUUAAAUGACGGUGCUUCCACCCCCAACCUCCUCACACCCCCAAGUUCACAGUAUCAGGUAUAGAUUUUGGGCAAUCGUCGUGGUAUGUUUUGACUCAUUUCCUAACCCACAGAAGAUUUGGUCAGGAAGCAAAAAAAUCCAUGGCUGCCAAGGUGUGUGAGUUUUUAAAUCUUUCUCAGUACCGAAUGGCAUACAAUAAGUGUAAUGAAGUAGGGCGAAGGCCUUCCUUCCUCUUCCACGUCUCAGAGGUAACCACCGUUGCUAACAAGUUGGUUAGGUCCCUACCAGUCCUUUUUUUUUUUUUUUUAAUUCCUCCUCUUUUUUUUUUUUUAAUUGUAGUGAAAACAUGCAUACCAAAACAUCCACCAACACUACAGCUUCCACAUUUACCACUCAGUGACCUUGACCUACCAAGCCUUUCCAUGCCAGUUCUGGUUGUUUAAGUUGGCAUACAAAUUUGUACCCCCCCCCUUUUUUUUUCUAGAAUGGUAUCAUAAAAUGUGUAUCAUUCCACAGGUUUUUAGUCUUCCUCUCAUCUCUGUGUUAGUCCGCACAAGUCCACCUCAUUCUUCUUCAACAAUAGAAUAGUAAGAGAUGAGCUUUCUCUGCAAUAUCUUAUGAAUGACUGUUUGAGGGAUGCCACCUGCUCACAUAGAUGUUCAUGAUGUUGUAAGAUGUCAUUGUCAUCCGCCGUGGUUCAUCAAGGUUGAGAGCCUGUGCUGGGGAGGCCAUGUGCCUAGUACCACAGCGCCUGGCACAUGAGGGACCCUCAGCAAAUAUGUGCUGGGGAAGGAGUGGCUGAGGAAUGAGUGAGGGUCACUGAGGGUGGAGGCUGGGACAUCAGACUUGAAAUGGGUCUCUUUCUCAACCAAUAUCUGUCUUUCUGUCUUUUUUUUUUUUUCAUUGUUUUGUUUUUGAAAGGGAUCCAAAUCCCAGAAGUCUAGCAGAUUCCCUUUGCUAAGCUGUCAGUGCUGAAGGGUCCCAGCAUCAAUGCAGCUAAUACCCCAAGACGAUUUUCCUAGGGCUGCCCCCUGAGGCCAGUGGAGAUGCUCUUUGUGUGGUGGGAUUUGCCCUUCAGCCUCUUUGACCUCUCUGCUGACCUUGACUCUUCAUGGCUUUGUGACUGGGCCCUGCCUUUUCCCUUGGGGUAAAAACAUGAAUGUAUCACGUGUGGGUGUGCUUAUACGUGUGUGUGUACAAUCCCCUUCUUCCUCUCCAAUAUUGCCUUCCUGGGGUCAGUGCCUAUAGGAUUAUCUAAAUAUUAUUUCAGCUUAUGUCUUUUGAGUGGGUGGUGUUUGUGGUCAUAAAGUUUCAAGGACAUAAUGCGUUUCUGCUGAAUGAAACUAUUAUACGUCUACUUAAAUGAAAAAUUAAAAUAAAAUUUUACUUCCCCAGUCACACUAGGCACAUUUCAAGUGCUCAGUAGGCUAUAUGUGGCUUGUUGUUGCUGUUUAGCCAGCCCCUGACUCAUGACAAUCCCAGAUGUUACGGAGUAGAACUGUGUUCCAUAAGGUUUUCUUGGCUGUAAUCUUUACAGAAAAGAGGGGAUAGAGACAGAAGUGGACACAGGGCGGUGGUUGCACAUCCAGGUCUCAGGUGUGAGUGAGUGCCUGUGCACUUGUUUCCUUCCGUCCCUGCCUGUGUCAGAUUUCAGCCCUCUGCAGCCCCAGAGCCUGCCAUGGGCAUUCCUGACAUGUGUGCCUUCUGAUUCCUCUGCUCUUCCCUCAUCUGUGGGUGUUGGAGACAGACAGCCUGGGCGGUGCCUUCAUUUAUUUACUAUCAGGCCUUCAUCUAGAGUAGUGCCAUCUAAUAGAAUGUUCUGCAAUGAUAGAAUGUUCUGUAUUCCUUUAUCCAAUAUGGUGGCCACUAUGGGUGGCGCAAGCAGUUUGCAGUCAGCUGCUAACCUAAAGGUUGGUGGUUCGAAGCGACCCAGCUGCUCCGCAGAGGAAAAGGCCUGGCAAUCUGCUUCCGUAAAGAUUACAGCCAAGAAAACCUUAUGGAGCAGUUCUACUCUGUAGCACAUAGGUCGCCAUGAGUUGGGGGCAGACUCAGCAGAAGCCACAACAAGAAAAAGCCACAUAUGGCUACUGAGCACUUGAAGUGUGCCUAGUGCAACGGAGGAACUGAAAUUCAAGUUUAUUUUAAUGUUUAAUUUAAAUAGACAUGUGGCUAAUGCUGUUUUGGACAGUGUAGGCUGAGAGCCUGUUCUGGGUAGGGCCCCGUGCUGAGAGCUGGAAUGCUAAAAACACUGUCCCUGGCCCCAGGAGCUCACAGACUUGGCUGGAGGCAGGGUCUGGAGCUGGGCAACAAGUGCCCUGGUGGAACCCAGCCUAGGGUCUGUGGAGCACGUGGGUAAACCUACCUCGGGUGGUUAAAGCAAGACCAAUACCAGGAAAGGCUUCCGAGAGCUGAGACUUAGCCUGGCAGGAAGCGGGGAAGAGCACACCAGACAGAGGGAGUAGCACAUGCAAAGACCCUGAGGUAUGAGACAGCCAGUGCCAUCCCCAUAUGAAGUGUUUUAAAAGGGCCCGGUCUUGCGGGGGACUGGUGAAGAAGCAGAGCCCAUUCAUGGGAGUCUUGAUGUGUUAGCAUAGGGAUUGGGGGUUCAUCUGGAGGACGACGUGUAGCUAACUGAGGUAUGUGUACGUGUGUGUGCGCUUCAGAGAAGGAGAAUCUGAAGCAGAUCUGUGUUUAAGGAAAAUAAAACUACUGCCAGCGGGAAGGUAGAUUUAUCUGAGGGUGGGGUGAGAGUGGUGAGACAGUGACCCUGGCUGGCGUGGGAACAAGGGGUGCCUGUGUGGAGGCAAGGAUUAGAGGGCUAGAGGGGUUAGAGCCUUGGGACCAAGCAUGGUGGUGAGCUCAGAGGCAAAACUUUUCCCUACCCCCCACCUUGAGUCACAUACUAUGGCUAUUUCCAGCUACCCCAGGUUCCACAGGUUAAAAAAAAAUUGCAGCUUCAUUUUCUGGCUGCAGCUGGGGAAAUGAUUUCAGAGCCUGCUGGCAUGGAGCCCUUUUUUUUUUCCCUUCAGCAAUUUCCCUGUUGGAAAUUGUUAAAGGAGGUGGCAAGCGCUGGCCGGGGUCAGUUCUAUCAGGGGGAGCUGGGAGGUGCAGAGGCAGGGAUCCCAGGGCCGAAGCCACAGGCCACAGGUUCCCCUGAAUAAGCUCUCGCUGGGGACGUUUUUUGAACUGAAGAUGCAGGCGGCUUUGGUAAGGAGUUUUUUUUUUUUUUGCUGUGGCUCUGACUAGGCACAUUUCUCUUUCCCAUCUCCUUUAUCCUUGCAUGCCUGUGUUUAAAAUGAGGCCUUCUCUUGGGGAUGGGGAAGAAAGCUACCUGACUUCUGCCACCAUCUUUGUUUCUGGAAACAUCUGAGGUCCUUGGCUGGACGUGGCUGUAGCUCUCUGUGGGCCCCAGGAAUCCAGGCCGUCUAAGUUGGGGGUAUAUGUAAGAUCUGAACCAGAAAAAUGACCUGGCAUCCGGCUCCUGGGGUACUGCUUUAAUUGGCAUGAAUCCUGUCCCUCUCCCUCUAGCCUCUCCUCCCCACCCCUCUUCCCGUCUGUCCCCACCCUCUCCCUUUGGGAGACAGAAGCCCGGCUGUUCUGACAGCCUUGCUCUUUGGCAGCUGGGAACCUCCUGAGGAUGCAGCACAUACCCUCAACCGGUCUCGCGGAGGAAUCUGCGCAGACAUGUCAGCUGGAGCAACCCAGGGCUGCCUUGGUAAUGAGGAUUUGAGCACCUGGGAGCUGGAUAUCAACUCCAGCCCAGUGAGUCUGGCCCACACAGCCCUCCCCACUUAGAAUGGUGAAAAGGAGGCCUGAACAGUGGACUGCCCAGGUUACCCACCCAGUCAGGAGAGGGGCUGAACUUGGAAUAUGGAAAGAAGAGGGCAAACUACCAGGUUGCAUUUUCAAUACAUCAUCCUGUUCAGUUCUUAUACCUGUGGGGGAGGCACCGAGGUCCUCAUUCUACAGCUCAGAGAAGUUGAGUGACUCGUUAGUGUCACACAGUGAGCCGGUGACAGGACCAGGAUUCAAACUUAAGUCCCUGUGACUCCAAAGCCAGACCUCCUUCCCCCACAGGAGUUUACCAUCUGACAUCUAACCGAGAAAUAGCCCAACCUGGAGCCACUGUAUGUAGUUGUGUAAUAGAAUUGACCUACUUUUUUUUCUUUCUCUCUUUCUCUUCCCUUCCUUUCGUCCUUCCAUCCUUCUUCUUUUCCUCACUCCCCUCCUUAACGUACAUUCCAUUUAUUCUACAUCUGUGGUGGCACAAACCUACCCAGAGUUACCUUGAAGAUAGGCCUGUCCGUAUGCUUCUGAAAGAUCACAGCCUUGAAAACCCUAUGGACACAUAGGGUCGCCACGAGUCAGAAUUGACCCGAUGGCAACUAACAACAAUCGAUCACUUGCUUCGUGCUGGGUACUCAGAUGAAUUAUCACAGGGGGUUAAAUGAACAAAAUACAGUCCUGCCCCAGAGGGCUCACGGUAUGGUGGGAUGUGCGUGUCUGCAAGGUAACCAUCAUGCAGAAUGGACUGACGGGUCCCAAGGGAGAAAAGGAUAAAAUGUGGCAAGAUAGGGAGCUGAGAGCCUAUUUCUAUGUUUUUGUCCGUCCGUCCGUCCGUCUGUCCGUCCGUCUGUCCAUCCAGUGUGUACUUGGCAUCUGUUGUGUGGCAGGUACUGUUCUAGGUGCUGGGCAUGAGUUCCUGUUCUUAGGGAGCUUACAUACAUCACUCUCUCCAAUUUAUGAAUUAAUUCAUUUUUCUGACCUUGAACCAAAUUACCGUCUUUUAUGCUUUGAAGGGGUGGGAAUCUCCCUGGUUUCUAGAAAUCUGAAAAGUUAUGAGCAUGACUUUUCUGCCUUGCCCUGCACUACUUGGCAUAUUUGAACGUUGGGCCCACCUCCUUAGUCCUUGGGAUUUCUGAAAACCAAACCCCCAGCCUGGCUUGGGAGAAAGUGCUGGAUGUGGCUGUAUUGUUCACUGCUCUGUCCCCAGUGCCUACUGUAUAAUAGGUGUUCUUGUUGAGUGACUGAAUUCAAAAUAAGAGUAUCCAUAAAGUUUUGGUGUCUUAGGCCAGGGUGUUUCAGGGGCUCUUUCAUCUGGGCCAAUGAAGGUUGAAUCCCAGGGGUCCCUGGGGAGGGUGAAGACGAGGUAGCUACCGAUGGCCUGCUGAGGCCUGGGGAUAUGUGGAAUUAGGUUUCUGAGCUGUCUUUCGUUUCUAUUGGUGACAGGCUGGACUUGAAUUACAACGUGUGCCUGUAGCCCUGCCAUGAAAUGGCUUUGUCUUAGUGUGUGCCUGAGCCUCCUCUGGGGGUCACCUAGCUCCUGGGCUGUCAGCUUGUGUUGAGUCCCUCCUCCUCAAUGGGCUACCUCAAAGGCAAUAUUGCCCUAAAAUGGACCUGAACAACCAGAUAUCACUGGGAAAUUCCUGUGUCAACAUUGUACUGUUUUAAUUAUCAUAAAGCAAGUGUUUAUCUCUCGUUACCUUUCUUUUUCAAAUAUCAGCAUGUAAAUUUUCCUAGUCCUUGCUCCCAGCUAUAUCUGCCUUUGGGCAGGCUGAAAAUUCUCUGACUGGAAAGCAGGAUUGCUUAAGAGCAUGACUUCUGGAAGUAGAUGACCCAGAACUUGGCCUUGCGAGGCAGACAAAAUGCUGGCUUUAUUUACCACUUGCCAUCGAUGAGACCUUGGAUAAGCCUGUUUACUCAUCUGUCAGAUGCUCUAGCAAGAAACUCAGGAGUCAUUUCUGAUUCCUUCUGCUUCCUCACCCCCCACAUUCAGUCAGUUAGCAAAUCCCACUGGCUGUGUUUGUAAAUUUGCUCCCCAAAUCUAUCUGUGUCUCUUUUUUAACAAUACCAUCCCCUAGUCCCACUUGGCCGUCUGCAGUGGCCUCCAUGUCACUCUGCUUCCUCUCUUGUCUUCCCCUUCAGUCCAUGCUUCAUGAGUCAAGAGUGAUUUUCUUCAAACCCAAAUCCAGUUAUCUCACUUUUCUGAGUAAAAUCCUUCAAUAGUGUCUUGUUGCGCUCAGCAUAAAAUCUAGAUUCCUCACCAUUCCCUACACAGCUCUGUAGAAUUCAGCGUCUGCCUUUAUUCUCCCACAUGGUCUCCUGCCUCUUCUUACCAGUCUCCUCCUCGUGAUAGAACACGUUAGGUUGUUUCCUCUCUCAGCCCAGGGCCUUUGUGUCCUCUGUUGCCUCUGCCUGGAAAUUUCUUCACCUCCAUGGCUAGUGCCUUCUCAUCUUUUGACAGGGGUUAGAGGUCAGCUCUUCAGAGAGGCUACCGUAUCUAAAAUUAGAUGUCGCCUUUCCCAUACCCACCACUUUAUCUCAGCAUGCUAUUUCCUUUUUAGCACUUAUUCACAAAUUUCAAUUACUGUUUACUUCUGUAUUUGUUUUUUAUUCUGUGUUUCUCAUUAGAGCAUAGGCUCCCUGAGGAAAGAGACUGUCUUCUUCAGUGUUGUAGUCACAGUGCUGAGUAAAAUGCCUGGCACACAGUUGGUAUUCUAUAGUUAUUUGUUGAUUGGAUGGAGGGAUGAAGGAGGGAGGAAUGAAUGACAUGGUACCAGGGCACACAAUAAGCACUUACUACAUAAAAGCUAUUAUAUUCUCCUACUACUAGUUAAGGCAGAAACCCUGGUGGUGUAGUGAUUAAGAGCUAUGGCUGCUAACCAAAAGGUUGGCAGUUCAAAUCCACCAGGUACUCCUUGGAAACCCUGUGGGACAGUUCAGCUCUGCCCUAUAGGGUUGCUAUGGGUCGGAAUCAACUCGAUGGCAGCAAGUUUACUACCAGUUAGAAAUUUCCUGUAGUAAGUUCAGACACCCAGCUGGCUUAGGCAAAAUGGAGACUUUAUCAGCUCAGGUAACAGAAGUCCAGGGAAGCCUGGAUGCAGGGACUCAGAUGAUGCUAUCAGGGCUCUCCUCUUAGACAGGCCCACUGCCAUAGCAGGCAUGAAGGGCACAAGCAACUAAGUCUUACUUUCUUCCAGCAUAGUCUAUGUUGCCUUUGUAGAGCUUCCCCUAUAAUUAUAGCUGAAAAAUCUCAGGGAGGGCUCUGAUUAGCUUGGCUUUGGUCAUGUGCUCAUAUGGGAACCUAUCGCUGGACUAGGAAGAUGGAGACCUCCAGUUGGCCCAAACUGGGCCAUGGCCCAGCCCUUUAGCAGCAUGAUGGAGGGGCCUAAAGGGUCAGGGCUACUUGAACUCAGGAAAUGGGUUCCUGGAGAAAGACAGCCCUGUUAGCCAGAGAAGGAGGCGUGUAAAAAUAAACACUCUCACUCCCUCAGAUGGCAAAAGCAGUCACUGCUGCAGUUGGUGAGAUAUCUCCACCUCUAUCCUUACACAGGGCUCUCUAUGGCGGUAGGUCGCCUGCCUUGCCCUGGGGGUCUCAGGUGUGACAACCGUACUUCUGUUUUCCCAUCAGUGAGCAGAACCCAUAGGUCUGUGUGGGAGUGGGACGUGAAGAGCCUCUGACUCAGAGACAGCUGUCUGUCAGGGGCUUGGCAGCUCCCGGUAGGGUCUGCUGAGAGCAUGUUUCUAGAAUAAAUAGGUGAGCCCAUUCCACCCUCCUCCGUGGUCUUUGUUUUUAAUAACAUUUAAAGUUUUUCUCUCUAUGAGUGUAAUAAAUGUUUAUUAUUGAAAAUUAGAAAAUAUAUCAUUUUUCAUGGCUGUCUUACGUGCCAUCCAGGGAAUCUGCUGCACUUUGUGCGGCUCUUCCCUUGGGUGUCCACAGCACCCAGCCCAAAUGUGUGAGAGCUGUGGAGGGCUUGCGGGUAGCCGGAGUUCACGUGGGGGUAGGAGUUUCCCCAGAUGAUUCAUUGGAGUGGGGAGAUGAUACCGUUCUUUGAUGACUCAGGUCCUGCUUUUUGGAGGGGACGGUGAGGCAGGGAAAACUUCUCUUGUCUGUAGCCUGGUAUCCCGGGUAUCUGGGCACCCGAGUCCCCAGCCCCCUGCAGCAAGGCCCACAGAGCCUGUGCCUCUCACACCCAGCACCUGCUCCAGGAGGUAUGUGCUGACUCCCCAGCUCCCAGGCGCAAACUAUUUUUGGCCCUGGUGACUGUUCACUACAGUCAUGAAAACAGAAACCCCUCUCCCUGCCUCCUCCUUCCCUGGGACACUGCACAGGGGCCAGGGCUGUGGGCACCCUGGUCCUGGGACCCUUACCAUGCAUUGCCUGUGGAGCUGGGUGACAGCCAAGGCUACAAGGGGCACGGGGACCCCGCCGCCCGUGGUGCUGAGGGAGGCACGAGGACUAGGCCGGCCCAAACCAGAGGGUUGCAAGGUAAGUGCUGGGGCCUGGGAUCAGAAGGCCUCUCCCGGAGCCCCUGGAAUGGGCACCUUUGGCUAGGCCCUGAGUCUUUACUUUGCUAAUUGUUUACAGAACAUGCUUUCCUGAGUUAAAGUGUCUGAAGAGAGAUCAGAAUCUUCCUGAAAGAGAUCUUCCCUGUCCUUGUAGUGCUAGGAAAAGGGUUCUGGUCUUUUAGUGCUUUGGGUUUGACCAGGACACGUGUGUUGUGAGCACAUUUCCUUUUGCAGGCACUUAAGAAAUGGGUGACAUGUAGGCUGACCCAGCCCUGCCUCUCAGGCCAAGGAGGCAAAGAGGCACAGAGGCUGGGUGUACUCGCUUUGUGGUUACACGGACCACCCUCCAAAUCCAGCUCCCUCACUUACUUGCUGUGUCUUAACGUGAGUAGCUUAAUCUCUCAGGACCUCAGUGUCCUCAGCUGCCAAGCAAUUGUACCUCAGCUGCUCACCAAGGAGUAGUAGCACCAGUCAUUGUUAUUUUAAUUAUUAUAGAUGGGUUGUGAGAAGAAGAAGUGUGUCAAGAAGCUGAGUAAGAGUCAGUGUGUUGCAGCAACCUGUGGAUCUCUGGCCCUGUCUCAGGGGCUGGGUGUUUAGGUAGAUCUGGCAAUGUGGGAUUUAUUUCUUCCUUUCAGAAAGGAGAAGAUUAUGUACCAUCUCCGAAGAGAAUAGUGGAGAUGUUCAAGGACAUGGAGUUGAAGAUUUCUGCCCAACCCCGUCUUGUAAGCCACCAAGACUUUGGGGACUGGCCAGACUAUGGGUGAGGCCAGGAGCCCAGACUCCAUGGCUUCCAAAUUGCAUAGGGCUCUUGGCCCACAAGACAAGCACAUGGCCUGGCAUCCCUACACCAGCUGUCUUUGGAGGUCAUUCUCAGGGUAGAUCUCAGUGGAAUCUUCCCCUUGGCUCAUUUCUUGGACCAGCUUAGAAAAACCUGGAAAGAAUGAAGCCUUUUCUUAUGGAUUGAAUUGUGUCCCCCCAAAAUGUGUGUCAACUUGGCUAGUCAUGAUUUCCAUGUCCUCUAUUUUGUGAUCUGAUAUAAUUUUCCUAUGUGUUGUAAAUCCUGCCUCUGUGAUGUUAAUGAGGCAAGGUUAGAGGCAGUUAUGUUAAUGAGGCAGGACAUAAUCUACAUGAUUAGGGUGUAUCUUGAGUCAAUCUUUUUUGAGAUAUAAAAAAGAGAACCAAGCAGAGAGGAGAGGGACCUCACUACCACUAAGCAAGAAGAGUCAGGAGUGGAGGGUGUCCUUUGGACCCAGGGUCCCUGCACUAAGAAACUCUUACACCAGGGAAAAAUUGAUGUCAAGGACCGUCUCCCAGAGCUGACAGAGAGAGAAAGCCUUCCCCUGGAGCUGGCAUCCUGAAUUUGGACUUCUAGCCUCCUAAAAUGCAAGGAACGCUCACUGUGGAAAAAGAAGCCACCUGAAUUUAGACACCAUCUCAAGAAUAG